rnacentral:rRNA from 1 species
GAUGAACGUUGGCGGCGUGCCUAAUACAUGCAAGUCGAACGAAGACUGUAGUAAUACUGUCUUAGUGGCGAACGGGUGAGUAACGCGUGGGUGACCUGCCCCGAAGUGUGGGAUAACAGUUCGAAAGGAUUGCUAAUACUGCAUAAUAUCCAAGAGAUUAGACGCUUUUGGAUUAAAGGAGUAAUUCGCUUCGGGAGGGGCCCGCGUCCCAUCAGCUAGUUGGUAAGGUAAUGGCUUACCAAGGCGAUGACGGGUAGGGGACCUGAGAGGGUGGCCCCCCACAAUGGAACUGAAACACGGUCCAUACACCUACGGGUGGCAGCAGUAGGGAAUAUUAGUAAUGGGCGAAAGCCUGAACUAGCAACGCCGCGUGUGCGAAGAAGGCCUUCGGGUUGUAAAGCACUUUUUGAGAGGAUAGAGGAAGGACGGUACUCUCAGAAUAAGUCUCGGCUAACUACGUG